rnacentral:rRNA from 1 species
GAUGAACGCUGGCGGCGUGCCUAAUACAUGCGAGUCGAGCGAACGGACGAGAAGCUUGCUUCUCUGAUGUUAGCGGCGGACGGGUGAGUAACACGUGGAUAACCUACCUAUAAGACUGGGAUAACUUCGGGAAACCGGAGCUAAUACCGGAUAAUAUUUUGAACCGCAUGGUUCAAAAGUGAAAGACGGUCUUGCUGUCACUUAUAGAUGGAUCCCCGCUGCAUUAGCUAGUUGGUAAGGUAACGGCUUACCAAGGCAACGAUGCAUAGCCGACCUGAGAGGGUGAUCGGCCACACUGGAACUGAGACACGGUCCAGACUCCUACGGGAGGCAGCAGUAGGGAAUCUUCCGCAAUGGGCGAAAGCCUGACGGAGCACCGCCGCGUGAGUGAUGAAGGUCUUCGGAUCGUAAAACUCUGUUAUUAGGGAAGAACAUAUGUGUAAGUAACUGUGCACAUCUUGACGGUACCUAAUCAGAAAGCCACGGCUAACUACGUG